rnacentral:rRNA from 1 species
UACGGGGGGGGCAAGCGUUGUUCGGAAUUACUGGGCGUAAAGGGCGCGUAGGCGGCUUUUCAAGUCGGGCGUGAAAGCUCCGGGCUUAACCCGGAAAUGUCGCUCGAUACUGUUGAGCUAGAGUGUGGAAGAGGCUACUGGAAUUCCGUGUGUAGCGGUGAAAUGCGUAGAUAUACGGAGGAACACCGGUGGCGAAGGCGGCAUCCUGGACCAACACUGACGCUGAUGAGCGAAAGCCAGGGGAGCAAACGGG